rnacentral:rRNA from 1 species
GACCGAUAGUGAACCAGUACCGUGAGGGAAAGGCGAAAAGAACCCCUGUGAGGGGAGUGAAAUAGAACCUGAAACCGUGUACGUACAAGCAGUAGGAGCAGGCUAUGUCCUGUGACUGCGUACCUUUUGUAUAAUGGGUCAGCGACUUAUAUUCAGUGGCAAGGUUAACCAUCUAGGGGAGCCGUAGGGAAACCGAGUCUUAACUGGGCGUUCAGUCUCUGGAUAUAGACCCGAAACCAGGUGAUCUAGCAAUGGGCAGGUUGAAGGUUGAGUAACAUCAACUGGAGGACCGAACCGACUAAUGU